CGUGCAUAUUUCCCCCAAGGUUUCUCUCUCUCCCUCUCAAUACUCUGCAAAUUGAUUAUGGCCCUCAAUUGUGAACCGAAUUUUCUGCGAUUCAAUCUUUUCGGCAAUUCUUGCUUACUAUAACUCAUUCAUGGUCUCAAAACUCACACGGGCUACAGAUUUGUCGAGAUUAUGAAGCUGAAGGACGACUCCAACUGCUCUCUGCAAUUUCAAGUGAUUCGUUCUGUAUAGGGUCUUGCAUUUGAGAUGAGUUUUGAUAAGCCAUGUAUAGGGUCUUGCAGUUCCUAUAUACGUGUACUACCCUGUGGUUUGAUGGCCAAUAAACGGGAACCGACUCUCACUCUAUUGACCUGUCUAGACUACUGUUUUCCAGCUUCCCAAGUAUGGGGAAGAGAAAUGCAAAACAAAGCGUUGAUUCGCUCUUGUUUUAAAAAUCAACAAGGCGAUAAAGAAUUGUUUGUUUUGCAAAAACAAAAACAAGACACAGCAUGAAGGGCAUGGAGGGCAAAGGGCCCUAUUCAUUUUUGUGUUUUAAUCGCUUUCCUGUUGUUUCUGGGCAUCCAAUUGCCGCCUGUGUUCAUGCAGUCUUCAUAUGCCAUAUCCAUUCCGAAGAUGUUACCGCCUUACAGGUACAGGCUGAUCUGUGUAAGAACCUCCGAAGUGUAAGUUCUGCGAUUCGAUCAUCUACUGUAUGAUAUAAGGCUCUGAGUAAGAUGGUAGACUUUGGUCACAGGUUUCACGCAUCAAGAAUUGAACUCUAUAUUGCCUUAAGGACCAACCUUGAAACAACUUUGUCCAUUGGUAUUUCCUUCUUAUUAACGUGAAGAUAUCUCACUUCUUGGCCACUUCGGUUCUCGGUGGUCAGAAAUGUGCUGGAUUAUUUAUACUGACGAUAUGAUGGAUAAUUUUGUUCUGCAGGUGGGCCUAGACGUCGAUCAUUUCACAUUCCCUGAAGGAAUACCAGGAGUGCUUGAAACGAGCUUUUCAAAGUACUCUCACCAGCACGCACUGGUGUGAUUUACCACAGAGUUGAAGAAGUGUUGGAAGAAAGCGAUAAGAGCAAAAGGUUCAAGCGCCAGUGAGUCAAAUGUUAUGGCCAGCAAGGAGAGAGUUGAAGAGUCAGCUCCUGGUGAAGAUUUUGCUGCCGUCCAAGUGAGGCAGACGAAUUAGAAGUGGCAGAGACAGGAGAAGGCACAAUGUAUUA